AUAGAAGUUGGUAAACCUGAGUAGCAAGCAAAAACCACAUGGAAAAGGUGAAAGUAUUAAGAGACAGAAGACGACAGAUCAGAAGCGCCACAAAACGGAGAUGCGGACAUUUUACAAAACACUCGGCAUGGAUCGAGCUCCAUGUUCGCCCGUGAAAGUGAUGCGGUAUCUCCGCGAUUAGGGGAUACAAAUCUCGUGUUCAGUGUAAGGACGUUGAACAGUUUGUAUACGUUAUUUUGUGAGUCGAUAUUUGCAAUUGUUUAUUUCAAAGGUGACAAGGUUAGUUUAAAGGUGUGUAAUCUUAAUACGUGUCAAAAAGUAGCGUGGCGAAACGAUUUUUGGUCUCGUUUCAGUGCACGAGGAAAUUCUUAUAAAAACCGAUCGCGACAUCACAAAAUAAUAAAGUUUUGUCGAAGAAACAUAUCGAAAAUAAAAACGGAAAAUAUAAUAUUAAGAACAAAGGCGAAAAUAAUAACAUUAAAAGUGGUAGUGGCGGCAGCGAUAGUGACGGUAACGGCAGCAGUGGCGCAAAGUGUGAGGACGAGGUGAAUGCACGGCGGCCGCGGUGUGUGCCAGUGGUGUGCGCGCUCGUCGCUCGUGGAAACCCGCCAAAACCCGCGGCCGCGAACAACCACCAGCAAGAGCAGCAACAAUAGCAACAACAACAGUAGUAGAAGAAAAAGAAGGAGGAGAAGGAGGAGAAGGAGGAGAAGGUGGAACAGCAUUAGCAGUAGUAGUAGUAGUAGUGGUAGCAGCAGCAGCAGUAGAAGCAGUGGUAGCACGCGACGUUGUGCUGUUUUGACAACUUUCCGCCGCGUCGGGGCGUCGCGCCGUUUUUCUCGCGGCGGCGGCGGCAACGGUAGAAACGACAACAACAAUAAGACAACGACAAUAACAACUUAUUUAAAAAAGGUCGAUUGUGACGGCAAUUACGACUGUUGCUGUCUCUUCAACUCAUACGACGUUGACGGUGGUGGCGACUGCGUUCUGUUAUUAUUUUGCCACGGUGCUUUUGACCCUACAAACCGGACGAGUUCAUUGCAGCGCUUUCGCGGGGGUGUCAGCCAGUUUUAUUACUCCGACCUUCUCCGUCCGCAGCAGCAGCGCCGACGGCGCCAGAACACGACGUGGUAUAUGCAGCAGCACGUCUAACUACAGGUGUGAAUCCCUCUGGUGGCAAGUGUAGGAGGAUCGCCACAGAACUAUAUCAGUGACGUUGCGACUGAGAAAGGACGCGACGAACCACGUGAUAUACCUGUCGUCGAGCCGCGUCAUGCAAAGCAUGCUCGACUCCUCGAUGGCCAUAACCUGAAUUGAGCCGAUUUGACCCGAUUAAGCCCGAUUCAACGUAUUCGCAGUUGAACGAACAAGCAAACGAACGAAUGAAAGAAAACAAACGGUAGCCAUUGACUUUUUUCAUCUUUCAUCGUGCUUACGUUCAUUAUUCUUUGGUGUUCUGUGCUUAAUAAAAAAUACGUUACCGCUUUUUGCAAUAAAGAUGCGAAUACUCAGAAGUGUAUCAGAAAUGUAUUAUACUUCAAUGAUAAUAUUUAUCUAAUAUAAAAAAAAAGUAAAAAUUUAAUUAGGAAAAGGGUCAAUCUGUCUACUUGUAACAGGUGACUACUCGAACGAAUGAACGGAGUGAUCGUGAUACGCAUGCUGUUUCUCGUUCUUUCGAUGUUCUUUUAUAACGGUGAUAAUUUGAAAUAAUUGUGCUAUACUGUGUAGUGUGCACAUAGUGUCAUUGAUAUGGUGUUUUUAUAGUGUCAACCGUUACAUGUAAUUGUCCGAAGGUGGUAGCGUGGGAGUCCGACAUUUUAACCGCUCGUAUUCACGAAAAGAUACAAGUGUCCACGUGUGAAAUAUGGUCGGCACUUAAAGGGCGUGAAAAUCAUACGUUGAACUUAUUUCAAGAAAAUUUUUUAAUGUCUUCUCUGAUAGGAAUUUUAUUAUAAGUAUAAUUAAUGUUUAAUUUUAUGAUCACGAUCUGUUUAUUUUUUCAUUAUCGUAUACUUUGUUGAUUACCAAAGAAAAAGGUGUCAAACACGUUUUUUUACGGCGAUUCAAGAAUCUUGAAAAAGAAUAAGUGCUGAAAAUUGUGAUUUUGUUAAAUUAUAGAAAGAAAGGAAUUAAAAGACAGUGUAUGUAUUGACAAGUUAUUAAGAAAUAUCCGUGUUUUGUACAUUUAGUGAAGUGAAGUAUUUGACAGUAUUUAAUCAAGUGUCUAACAAUGAAAAAUACCUGACAUUCACAUCAUAAGGAUUAUCGGAAUUAAUAAUGGAAUCGAAUGAGGAUUGCUUUUAUUGAAAAGUGAAAUUUGCAGUGUAGAAAAACAAGUGAAGUAACAAUACAGUAGAAUACAGAAAAAGAGAACUAUACAUAUUGUUAUUGAAAAUUGAUAAAGCUAAUUAAAAGGACAAAAAAAAACUUAAGAACGAAAACAAUUGAACAAGAAAAGGGUAUUGAAAAGCAGGUGUACACAUUUGUAGAUCGUAUAAUAAAAAGGGAGAGAGAGAGAGUGAAAAAGAAAAAAGCUCAGUGUCUGUAAAUAAGAGUUAUUUUUUCGUAUGAGGAAAAAAGAGAUACAUCUACAUCAAAACGAGGAGAAACGAGUAAGAAGACGUUUAGAAGUCCUUGAACUAAACAAGGUUCGGAGGACUUUCUCUCUCUCUCUCUCUCUCUCUCUUAUAAAGAUAUAUGAAGAAAGUGAUAAAACAUUUGUGACAAAGAACAGAAAAAAAGCGAAUGAAAGUGAAACAGUAUAGUGUCAAAAUUAUUAUUGAAUCUUUUUUCUACAGUUUUCAUUCAAAAUCGAUUGUGUUUCUUCCAAUUCUAGAAGAAUAUCAUUCACAGAAAGUGACUAAUUUAGAUUUAAAAAGACUGAUAAAAAUUUUUACAAGCAAAGAAGCAAGAGAGAGAGAGGGAGAGAAUGUGCGUGUGUGUACAUAAACGGAAAUAGUAUAAGAAGAA